CUUCUACUUGUGCAGGCUCAGCAUCCCUGGGGCCUCAACUCCUUAGCCAUCCUAGGCUGCUGCUCGCAGUAAGCCCUCUCCUCGUAGUCCCGGCCCUCUACCUCCCAGCCCU
rnacentral:lncRNA from 1 species